CCAGGCCGCAUGCAUGCCAAGCGAGCACGCCACCACUUGAGCCACAUCCCCAGCCCUAAAAAAUAUUUUUUUAAAAAAGUAUAUUUCAUGGGGAAAGGGGUAAUUAAUUCUGUCAAAUGUUGCAGAUAUUCAAAACCAGCCUCAGCAACUUAGCAAGAUUCUGUCUAAAAAAUAAAAGAAAAUGUUGCACAUUGGUUAAAGUAGGGAGCAAGAACUGACUACCUCAGAGAGAACAGUAAGACAAAAGUUUAUUUAAAUACAUAUAAUGGCAGUUGCUAGAAGAUAUGUGUCACUUUUUUGCCCAAACUUCAUUUUUACAACCUUUUGGCGGAGUGAUUUAAUAAUAUAUUGAUAUUAUUGUAAUUCCACUUCUUGGAAUUUAUCCUUAAUUAAUAUUCACACAGAUACACAAAGAUAUAUAGGAAAAUGUUAAUUACAACAUCAACUUCAAUAGUAAACCUCAAUAGCCUUCAUCAUAAUGAAUCUCUGUAAAGGCAGGUUAUCUGUAAAAUGUAUAUUACCAUUUAAUUUAUUAGUAUAUCCCCCAAAGGCCUUCUUUGGUUAUACUAUUAAAAGUUGCCCUCUAAUUUACCUCUCCUUUACUUUCACAUGAGCUUAUUUUAUUCAUAGCACUUAUUACCAUAAAAAUGAUUUGGUUUUAAGUUAUUUGUGGACUAUCUGCUUUCUCCACCAGAGUCUGAGCUUUAUAAGAUUUCCUUUGUUGUUCAUACUUACCUACCUACUGCACAUGGAUAUUUUUUAUUUUAUUUUUAUUUUUUAUAGUGUCGAGGAUCGAACCCAGGGCCUUGCAUACAAUAGGUAAGUGCUCUAUCACUAAGUUACAUCCCUAUCCUCAGUGAGUAUAAUUUUUAAAAAAUCUUGUAGAGGGAAAAAAUGCUUCCUGUUAUUCUGGAGUAGUUAUUUAUUACUCUCAUUUCUAUAACUUAAUUUCUCCAGCCUCAUUUUUAUCAUAUAUAGAUGAAGACAGUGGGCAAUUAUUCUCAGCCCUAAAUUUAUUUAUUUUUUGUUUGUUUUGGUGCUGGGGAUUGAACCCAGGGAAUUGUGCAUGUGAGGCAAGCACUCUACCAACUGAGUAUAUCCCCAGCCCCUAAAUUUACAUUUUAAUGACCUAUAUAGCUUUUAGUAUGAAGUUAUGCCGGUUCUACCUUUGACUAAUAAAGUCAUAAAUUGGGGUAAGGUCAAGGUAUCAGUAUUCUUUGAAGAUUUAUUUGAUAUUAAAAGAUAUUUCUGGUUAUUUCAAGAUCAAGAAUACAUUAUAGAGCCAGCAAUGGCUGUGCCUAACUAUAUUCUCAGGAGACUGAGGCAGGAGGAUCACAAGUUCAAGGCUUACC
rnacentral:lncRNA from 1 species